rnacentral:rRNA from 1 species
UACGUAGGGGGCAAGCGUUGUCCGGAUUUAUUGGGCGUAAAGAGCGUGUAGGCGGCCCGAUAAGUCCGCUGUGAAAGUCCAGGGCUCAACCCUGGAAUGCCAGUGGAAACUGUCGGGCUAGAGUCCGGAGGAGGCGAGUGGAAUUCCUGGUGUAGCGGUGAAAUGCGCAGAUAUCAGGAGGAACACCAAUGGCGAAGGCAGCUCGCUGGGACGGUACUGACGCUGAGACGCGAAAGCGUGGGGAGCGAACAGG